CCUCGGGUGGCAGCAGUGGGGAAAAUUGGACAAUGGGCGAAAGCCUGAUCCAGCCAUGCCGCGUGUGUGAAGAAGGCCUUCGGGUUGUAAAGCACUUUCAGUGGGGAAGAAAGCCUUGGGGCUAAUACCCUCGAGGAAGGACAUCACCCACAGAAGAAGCACCGGCUAACUCCGUGCCAGCAGCCGCGGUAAUACGGAGGGUGCGAGCGUUAAUCGGAAUUACUGGGCGUAAAGCGCGCGUAGGCGGUCUGAUAAGCCGGUUGUGAAAGCCCCGGGCUCAACCUGGGAACGGCAUCCGGAACUGUCAGGCUAGAGUGCAGGAGAGGAAGGUAGAAUUCCCGGUGUAGCGGUGAAAUGCGUAGAGAUCGGGAGGAAUACCAGUGGCGAAGGCGGCCUUCUGGACUGACACUGACGCUGAGGUGCGAAAGCGUGGGUAGCAAACAGGAUUAGAUACCCUGGUAGUC
rnacentral:rRNA from 1 species